UACGUAGGGCGCAAGCGUUGUCCGGAAUUAUUGGGCGUAAAGAGCUCGUAGGCGGCUUGUCACGUCGGAUGUGAAAGCCCGGGGCUUAACUCCGGAUCUGCGGUGGGUACGGGCAGACUAGAGUGAUGUAGGGGAGACUGGAAUUCCUGGUGUAGCGGUGAAAUGCGCAGAUAUCAGGAGGAACACCGAUGGCGAAGGCAGGUCUCUGGCAUUAACUGACGCUGAGGAGCGAAAGCAUGGGGAGCGAACAGG
rnacentral:rRNA from 1 species